GAUGAACGCUGGCGGCGUGCCUAAUACAUGCAAGUCGAGCGAACGGACGAGAAGCUUGCUUCUCUGAUGUUAGCGGCGGACGGGUGAGUAACACGUGGAUAACCUACCUAUAAGACUGGGAUAACUUCGGGAAACCGGAGCUAAUACCGGAUAAUAUUUUGAACCGCAUGGUUCAAAAGUUAAAGACGGUCUUGCUGUCACUUAUAGAUGGAUCCGCGCUGCAUUAGCUAGUUGGUAAGGUAACGGCUUACCAAGGCAACGAUGCAUAGCCGACCUGAGAGGGUGAUCGGCCACACUGGAACUGAGACACGGUCCAGACUCCUACGGGAGGCAGCAGUGGGGAAUCUUCCGCAAUGGGCGAAAGCCUGACGGAGCAACGCCGCGUGAGUGAUGAAGGUCUUCGGAUCGUAAAACUCUGUUAUUAGGGAAGAACAUAUGUGUAAGUAACUGUGCACAUCUUGACGGUACCUAAUCAAAAAGCCACGGCUAACUACGUG
rnacentral:rRNA from 1 species